GAUGAACGCUGGCGGCGUGCUUAACACAUGCAAGUCGAACGAAGCACUUUAUUUGAUUUUCUUCGGAAAUGAAGAUUCUGUGACUGAGUGGCGGACGGGUGAGUAACGCGUGGGCAACCUGCCCCAUACCGGGGGAUAACAGCUGGAAACGGCUGCUAAUACCGCAUAAGCGCACGGCACCGCAUGGUGCAGUGUGAAAAACUCCGGUGGUAUGGGAUGGGCCCGCGUCUGAUUAGCCAGUUGGCAGGGCAGCGGCCUACCAAAGCGACGAUCAGUAGCCGACCUGAGAGGGUGACCGGCCACAUUGGGACUGAGACACGGCCCAAAACUCCUACGGGAGGCAGCAGUGGGGAAUAUUGCACAAUGGGGGAAACCCUGAUGCAGCGACGCCGCGUGAGCGAAGAAGUAUUUCGGUAUGUAAAGCUCUAUCAGCAGGGAAGAUAAAUGACGGUACCUGACUAAGAAGCCCCGGCUAACUAACGUGCCAGCAG
rnacentral:rRNA from 1 species